GUACAAAUGUAAGAGAUGACAGACAAAAUUGGGUGUGAACAUUUCUUAUUCUAUUUGCUCUCAAAAUUCUGCUAUAAAUAAUGAAGAAAAGAUUAGUUUAAUAAUCAUCUUUGAGAGCAUCAUAUAUAAUACUCUAAUCAAAAACAUAUUGCUUUUCCUUACCUUAAGAGUUAAUUCGAUGGAUAUACUUUUGAAUGUACUAGGUGACAUUAUUGUUGAGGUGGAAAAGUUUGUAUGUAAAUGCAUCUAUCCUAAGAUUGAAAAUAUCAUCCGUUUCUCGUCAAAAAUUGAAAAUCUAAGGAAGGAAAUGGAGGAGCUAGCAAGGUUUAGAGACGACGUCAAAGCAAAGGUGGAAGUAGCGGUGCGAGAAGGCUAUAAGCCAAAACCAGAUGUUGUUAAGUGGAUCGAAGAUGUUUAGAAGCUCGAGAAUGAAUGGGAAGCUAUGCAAGAAAGCAUUGCAGCGGAUAAGACACUUACAUAUAAAUGGUGUCCAAAAUGCAGCCUUCGCUCGGAAGUCUCCGCUCAAGCAAAGAACAUCCGGGAUCAACAAUGCAGAUUUAUAAAGGUCGGAGAAAACUUUGGAUCCAAUUUGGUGGUAGAAAUUUACCGGAUGAAAAAAGUUGCGCACAUCCCGGGAUCAUCAAUAGAAGGCCAGCCAGCUGCAACAAGGAAUCUCAACGAACUCCUACGAAUAUUGGAAGAUGAUAAGGGAAAAGUAUGCCUGUUUCUAAUAUGAAGAGCAUCAGCAAAGGAUUUUUCCUCAAAUUUCCUAGCAUUGACAUGUUAAAUAUGUGGCGUAGCUGUCUUGGAGCGACCUCUUUUGAUGAGAUAUCAUCUCUACACAAUCUGACAUAUCUUUUUAUUAGAGUGGAUAGCUCAUCAUGUUUCAAUAGAGAUUACACCUGGACCUGGAUGACUAGAUUGAAAGGAUUUCACAUUAGAGUUGGGGAAUAUUCACUAUAUGUACCAUAAAACAAGUCAAAAAGGGUGAUAUUUUCAGUAACGGAGAGCUCUCAGGCAUGUUGCAGCUUGCUUCAGAUUUGUACUUGGAAAAAUGCAGGGGUCUCAGGAAGUUGAUUGCAUACAACACUUUUAAUGCUUCAGUAACGGAGCACUCUCAGACUGUUCUUUUUUCUUUCGGACCAGUGCAAGGAGGAAGUGGACAAUUCGACCAAAUCUGGAAUAUCUCGACCUCUGUUAUGUACAUAAUUUAAAGAGUGUUUCUGAUUUCGGUCAACAUUUGGGUCUAAGAUUUUCUAAAUUACGCCAACUGGAUAUCUCUCAAUGUGCAAGUUUAACAUGUCUUUUUAACGAUGGUGGAGCUUGUUCUGUACCCAAGAACUUGGAAGAAAUUACAAUUAACGUUUGCCUUCAGCUGGUAGAGUUGUAUGUGCAAUGCAACUCAAGUGAUCAGGUAGCACUUGUCAACACAGAAAUUCCAAGGGUUCGGAAGUUAAAGUUGUAUCGCUUACCAGAACUAGGAAUGUUGGGGGAGCCACAGAGUAUGUGGGAACACUUGGAGGAACUCAAGGUGAUCGCUUGUGACGGAUUAAGGAAGUUGCCUCUCUCUAUUCAAACCUCCAAAAAUAUCAAAAUAAUAGAAGGAAAAUCAGAAUGAUGGAGUCAACUGGAAUGGGAUGAUGACAACUUCAAGUCAAAUUUAGAGAGUUGUUACAAAGAAACGUAAACUUGAUGAUAGAAGGAUCAAAGUUAACGUUAUUUCUGCUGCAUCUCAGGGAUUUUAAAAAGCGGAGGAAGGAACUUCCUGCACCAGGACAUAAAGCUUCGAGCUAAAGUUAAUUGGUGCGCUUUGCUGUGAUGUAUUUUCCUGUCAGAUGUCUUAAGUUUUUUCUGCCGAUAAUUGUUCCUUGUUUGUACUAUCCCUGCUUCCUGGGUCCGAUAUUUGGAUGGCUUGACUGUACACCAAGUAAUUUCUUGUUUCAUUUGAGUUGUGUGAUCAUCUUGUUUGUUUGUAAUAGACUGGUAUUGCUUCGGUGUUUAAACAUUUUAAAGCAUUCUUAA